rnacentral:rRNA from 1 species
GAUGAACGCUGGCGGCGUGCUUAACACAUGCAAGUCGAACGCACCUUCGGGUGAGUGGCGGACGGGUGAGUAACGCGUGAGAAUCUGCCCUCAGGAGGGGGAUAACAGCUGGAAACGGCUGCUAAUACCCCAUAUGCCGAGAGGUGAAAUGAAAUUCGCCUGAGGAUGAGCUCGCGUCUGAUUAGCUAGUUGGUGGGGUAAGAGCCUACCAAGGCAUCGAUCAGUAGCUGGUCUGAGAGGAUGAUCAGCCACACUGGGACUGAGACACGGCCCAGACUCCUACGGGAGGCAGCAGUGGGGAAUUUUCCGCAAUGGGCGAAAGCCUGACGGAGCAACGCCGCGUGAGGGAUGAAGGCCUCUGGGCUGUAAACCUCUUUUCUCAAGGAAGAAGAACUGACGGUACUUGAGGAAUAAGCCACGGCUAAUUCCGUGCCAGCAGCCGCGGUAAUACGGGAGUGGCAAGCGUUAUCCGGAAUUAUUGGGCGUAAAGCGUCCGCAGGCGGUCUUGAAAGUCUGUUGUUAAAGCGUGGAGCUUAACUCCAUUUCAGCAAUGGAAACUACAAGACUAGAGUGUGGUAGGGGCAGAGGGAAUUCCCGGUGUAGCGGUGAAAUGCGUAGAUAUCGGGAAGAACACCAGUGGCGAAGGCGCUCUGCUGGGCCAUAACUGACGCUCAUGGACGAAAGCCAGGGGAGCGAAAGGGAUUAGAUACCCCUGUAGUCCUGGCCGUAAACGAUGAACACUAGGUGUCGGGGGAAUCGACCCCCUCGGUGUCGUAGCCAACGCGUUAAGUGUUCCGCCUGGGGAGUACGCACGCAAGUGUGAAACUCAAAGGAAUUGACGGGGGCCCGCACAAGCGGUGGAGUAUGUGGUUUAAUUCGAUGCAACGCGAAGAACCUUACCAGGGUUUGACAUCCUGCGAAUCCCUUGGAAACUUGGGAGUGCCUUCGGGAGCGCAGAGACAGGUGGUGCAUGGCUGUCGUCAGCUCGUGUCGUGAGAUGUUGGGUUAAGUCCCGCAACGAGCGCAACCCACGUCUUUAGUUGCCAGCAUUCAGUUGGGCACUCUAGAGAGACCGCCGGUGAUAAACCGGAGGAAGGUGUGGAUGACGUCAAGUCAUCAUGCCCCUUACAUCCUGGGCUACACACGUACUACAAUGCUACGGACAAAGGGCAGCAAACUCGCGAGAGCUAGCAAAUCCCAUAAACCGUGGCUCAGUUCAGAUCGUAGGCUGCAACUCGCCUACGUGAAGGAGGAAUCGCUAGUAAUCGCAGGUCAGCAUACUGCGGUGAAUACGUUCCCGGGCCUUGUACACACCGCCCGUCACACCAUGGAAGUUGGCCACGCCCGAAGUCGUUACUCCAACCCUUGUGGAGGAGGACGCCGAAGGUGGGGCUGAUGACUGGGGUGAAGUCGUAACAAG